AGGAGGAGAGGUAGAGGAGGAGAGGUAGAGGAGGAGUGGUAGAGGAGGAGUGGUAGAGAGGAGUGGUAGAGAGGAGAGGUAGAGGAGUAGUGGUAGAGAGGAGAGGUAGAGGAGGAGUGGUAGAGAGGAGUGGUAGAGAGGAGAGGUAGAGAGGAGAGGCAGAGAGGAGAGGUAGAGGAGGAGUGGUAGAGGAGGAGUGGUAGAGAGGAGUGGUAGAGAGGAGUGGUAGAGAGGAGUGGUAGAGAGGAGAGGUA